AGGAGCCUACGGGACGCAGCAGUGAGGAAUAUUGGUCAGUGGGCGGGAGCCUGAACCAGCCAAGCCGCGUGAAGGAAGAAGGCGCCAGGCGUCGUAAACUUCUUUUGUCGGGGAACAAAGGGCGCCACGCGUGGCGUUGUGAGUGUACCCGAAGAAAAAGCAUCGGCUAACUCCGUGCCAGCAGCCGCGGUAAUACGGAGGAUGCGAGCGUUAUCCGGAUUUAUUGGGUUUAAAGGGUGCGUAGGCGGUCCGGAAAGUCAGCGGUAAAAUCGCGGGGCUCAACCCCGCUCCGCCGUUGAAACUAU
rnacentral:rRNA from 1 species